GACGAACGCUGGCGGCGUGCCUAAUACAUGCAAGUAGAACGCUGAAGGGAGAGCUUGCUCUUCUGGAUGAGUUGCGAACGGGUGAGUAACGCGUAGGUAACCUGCCUGGUAGCGGGGGAUAACUAUUGGAAACGAUAGCUAAUACCGCAUAAUAGCAGUUAUUGCAUGAUAACUGUUUGAAAGGUGCAAUUGCACCACUACCAGAUGGACCUGCGUUGUAUUAGCUAGUUGGUGGGGUAACGGCUCACCAAGGCAACGAUGCAUAGCCGACCUGAGAGGGUGAUCGGCCACACUGGGACUGAGACACGGCCCAGGCUCCUACGGGAGGCAGCAGUAGGGAAUCUUCGGCAAUGGACGGAAGUCUGACCGAGCAACGCCGCGUGAGUGAAGAAGGUUUUCGGAUCGUAAAACUCUGUUGUUAGAGAAGAACAAGUGCUAGAGUAACUGUUAGCGCCUUGACG
rnacentral:rRNA from 1 species